AAUACUUCAUAAUAUCCAUCUCGUAUGGAUUAAAGCUUUAUGCGCUUUGGGAGGGGCCUGCGUAACAUUAGCUAGUUGGUGAGGUUAAAAGCUCACCAAGGCUUCGAUGUUUAACUGGUUUGAGAGGAUGACCAGUCACACUGGGACUGAGAUACGGCCCAGACUCCUACGGGAGGCAGCAGUAAGGAAUCUUCCACAAUGGGGCAACCCUGAUGGAGCAAUACCGCGUGCAGGAUGAAGCGUUUCGGCGUGUAAACUGCUUUUAUCACCGAAGAUUAUGACUGUAGGUGAAGAAUAAGGACCGGCUAACUACGUG
rnacentral:rRNA from 1 species